rnacentral:rRNA from 1 species
AUGAGCACUGACGCCGAUCGCGUGGCUGCCGAGAAGGCCGCUGCUGACAAGGCGAUCGCCGACGAGGCCAAUGCCUCCACUGCUGCUACGGCCGACUGGCCUACUAGAGGGUAUAACACACUUACCCCGCUCCUGUUUAUUUUCGUGCAAAUCCACAAAGAUCCGCUCAAGGGGAAACAAGAGGAAGUGAAAAUCAGUUGGCUUUGGCUGUUGCUUCGACUUCAAUUCCAUCUGAGAAUGCACCACCUCAGCCUCGACCCCAACUGCAAAGUGAAACACAAGGAAAAUGGCAGUAAGAAAAUGGCCUGUGAUGCUGAGCUUCUUCCACAUGAUCCUGACAAAAGGAUAUCUAUCACGAUGCAUUCUAUGAAUUAUCAAGGAUCUCUUCACAGAAGCCUUGUUGUUCCUCACAGACACUCCUCUUUUAACCUGGUAUGCUUGUAUUGCAACAGGGAUGAUUUCAGCUUCAGCCCAGGCUCAGCAAUCUCAAACAACGCCCUGCAAAUCACACCGAACACCGGGAACAUGAGCCACCGGUCGGGAAGAGUGGCCUACGCAAGGGAAACCCUCAAGCUGUGGAACAGCAAGCGUACAGCGCUCACGUCGUUCAGUACAGAGUUCGUGCUCAACAUCCUCCCACAGAAGACAGAUGGCGCCAAGACAAACCGAGUAGUUGCCGUCGAAUUCGACACCAGGCAGAGCUAUGCGGAUGAAUUUGACGGCAACCAUUUCGGCUUCGACUUCAACAGCAUCAAAUCUUUUCGGCAAUACCCGCUCAGUAAUCAGUCCAUCUUCCUCGCAAGUGGGACUGAUGUACGCGUCAGUAUGGCAUACAAUGGUUCCACAGGCGAUUUCACCCAACUGAACCAGAUAAAGUCCUGGAACUUCACCACAAUAGAAAAUGAUGCCACAGUUGGAAUAAGAGUUGGAAUAAAGGUGGUUUUGGCUAUUGCUGCUUUGGUUAUAUUUUCUACCUGUUUGGUUGGUGUGUUCUUCAUGUGGAGAAGGUUCACACGGCAGAGAAGGCUCGCCAACCGCAACCUUGAGAAAAUGAUCGAUGCACAUGGUCCGGUCAAAUUUAAGCUCAGGGAGCUCAGGCGUGCGACUGCCAACUUCAGUCCUACACGUAAGCUCGGCAGAGGCGGCUCUGGCACCGUUUACCUCGGCCACAUCAAUAGGAUGAACUUGGAGGUGGCUGUGAAGCGGGUGUCAACGGGCAACGCCGAUUCCAACCGAGGAGAGCGGGAGUUUGUCGCCGAGGUGAACACGACCAGCAAGCUGUCCCACCGCAACCUCGUCAAGUUGAUCGGCUGGUGCCACGAGGGAUCCGAGCUGCUCCUGGUGUACGAGUACUUUCCCAUGGGCAGCAUGGACAAGCUCUUGUAUGCCAGUGCCAGAGAGAGCAACUCGUCGUCAGAGAUUAGCACUCUUGAGCUCACAUGGGAUCGGCGGUACAAGAUCAUCUGUGGAGUGACAUCGGCGCUGGACUACCUGCACCACGGGAGCAGCAAGCGGGUCCUGCACAGGGACGUCAAGCCCAGCAAUGUGAUGCUCGACGAGGACUACAACGCGCGGUUGGGCACCACUGCACGCAGGCGGGGUCACGCACCACUGCACGCAGGCGGUGGCCGGUACUUGCGGCUACAUGGCCUACGAGUGCUUCUUCACCGGCCGCGCCAGCCUCGACACAGACGUGUACGCGUUCGGGGUCUUCAUCAUUAA